AAUCAACGCUGGCGGCGUGCCUAACACAUGCAAGUCGCACGAGAAAGGGACUUCGGUCUUGAGUAAAGUGGCGCACGGGUGAGUAACACGUGACUAAUCUACCCUCGAGUGGGGAAUAACUGAGAGAAAUCUUAGCUAAUACCGCAUAACACUUACGAGUCAAAGCAGCAAUGCGCUUGGGGAGGAGGUCGCGGCCGAUUAGCUAGUUGGCGGGGUAAUGGCCCACCAAGGCGAUGAUCGGUAUCCGGCCUGAGAGGGCGCACGGACACACUGGAACUGAAACACGGUCCAGACUCCUACGGGAGGCAGCAGUGGGGAAUUUUGCGCAAUGGGGGAAACCCUGACGCAGCAACGCCGCGUGGAGGAUGAAAUCCCUUGGGAUGUAAACUCCUUUCGAUCGGGACGAUUAUGACGGUACCGGAAGAAGAAGCCCCGGCUAACUUCGUGCCAGCAGCCGCGGUAAUACGAGGGGGGCAAGCGUUGUUCGGAAUUAUUGGGCGUAAAGGGAGUGUAGGCGGUUUGGUAAGUCGUGUGUGAAAUCUUCGGGCUCAACCCGAAGUCUGCACACGAAACUGCCG
rnacentral:rRNA from 1 species